rnacentral:lncRNA from 1 species
AGAAUCUUCUAGAAGUUAGUCGAUCUGUUCAUUCAGUGGUCCGUGAAAGGUAAGUAAUAAAUCAUCUUCUCGAGAUAUUCCAUAUUUAUUCUGAAAAUAAAUAAUUAUUCUCUGAAAUUAUGCAUGAUUUAUGAAAUUAUGUUUUGUAAGAAAAGUGCUUUUGAAAUGUUAUGGUAUAUCGAUUUAUGCACCUGUUUAGUGAAAGAUUAUGAUAUAUAUUAUGGUACAAAGUGUUUUGAUAUAGAUCGGAUUUAUACUCUCAGCCUAACUAUGUUUCAGUGGGCCCCGCCAAUGGGGAUUAUACGUUGGUACUUUGUGGACCCUGCCAGUGGGGGUUGUGCACUGGUAUUUGUGGACCCUGCCAGUGGGGGUUGUGCGCUGGUAUUUCUGGACCCUGCCAGUGGGGGUUGUGCGCUGGUAUUCUGUGGACCCCGCCAAUGGGGGUUAAACAUUGGUCAUAGUCGAGGCUGUUGAGUUUCGAGUGUUUUGAAUCGAAUCGGAUUUAUAAUUAUAUUAUAUGUGAAUAUUUGAAAAUAUUUG